CGAUCCAUUAUAGCUGAUGUGCGAUGCCUUCGUCUUUGCUGUGACUGUGAGGGCUUCAGAGCGCUCUGCUCGGCCGAGGAGUCAAGAGGCGUGGAGCGAUAUCAUCGGUUUGGACUUCUGUUUGAGACGAGAUGGGAUUGUGCCACUGAACGGGGUCACAUUUUCAAGUGGAUUUUGGAGUUGAACUUGAAUUACGUUUUUUGGAGUUAACCACUUGAAUGAAGUCUUUUUUUUAUGUCAGGAUAUUUUUGGGAUCCAAUAUAGCCUAUGCACCCGCUGACCAGUGAUAACACUGUUACAGAGACACACGUGAGACUUGACAUGGAGUUGUAUCUUGUGAAAACACGAAAACGUCUUAAACGUGUCCUGUCUGGAGAAAUCAGUUGUUCUUGUUGCUCUCAUGGAGCGGACCGGUACACUUCAUGGUUUUGCGCAGGGCACGCUACAGUGAAGCCGGAGCCUUGCUCUGCGGGUUGUCUGGACGAUGGCUGGGACCCUAUGGUCAGCAUGCCUUUGGGAAUAGACCGCGCUGUCACACAUACACACACACACACACACACACACACCACUCAAACACACACACACACACACACACUCACACACGGAGGAGUGAUAAUAUGAAUCUUUCCUGCGGAAAAGCACCUCUUUGGAGUACCGGUGACCUGUCUGAUGGAUUAUUGUGACAUUGGAACUUACCAAAGAAUCAACUUGUGUGGAUGAAUGGAGACAGAAGACAGGAACCCUGCAGAGAUGAUCCCUAGGACCUCCCUGACUGUGUCCGGCACCUGGAGAGUGUGUGUGUGUGUGUGUGUGUGUGUGUGUGUGUGUGUGUGUGUGUGUGUGUGUGUGUGUGUGUGUGUGUGACGGAUGGCUCACUCCUGUGAGUCAUAACUUUAGGCUAGUGAAGCGUCCCCCAUGCUGGAAGCGUGUGUGGAGCGCACAGCGGCGUCUACCUUGUGUGACCCCUCGCUGGGUUUCAUUCAUGCUGUGCCUACAAGAGGAUGCUUGAUUUCCUAAGCCGCUUCUCCUGGGAAAUGGACUGUGGAUAAUUUCUAACAAGAAUGUUUUUUUUUUUUUUUUUGGGGGGGGGGAAACAGAACAGGAUCUUCUCUGGAAUGUUUUUUUGGAUCAUUUAAGACAUUUUUGGGGACAUUCAAACUUUCGCGGCCUGUGGAUGCAGCAGCUUUGAUGUGCAUGUGUGUAUGCACAUAUGGCAG
ensembl:lncRNA